AAUGAACGCUGGCGGUAGGCCUAACACAUGCAAGUCGAACGGCAGCACAGUAAGAGCUUGCUCUUACGGGUGGCGAGUGGCGGACGGGUGAGGCAUACAUCGGAAUCUACUUUUUCGUGGGGGAUAACGUAGGGAAACUUACGAUAAUACCUAAUAUGACCUACCGGUGAAAUCAAGAGAUCUUGGGACCUUUCCCGUUUCAAUUAGCUGGAGUCGGGUCGGAUUAGCUAGUUGGUAAGGUAACGGCUCACCAAGGCGACGAUGCGUAGCUGAUCUGAGAGGAUGAUCAGCCACACUGGAACUGAGACACGGUCCAGACUCCUACGGGAGGCAGCAGUGGGGAAUAUUGGACAAUGGGCGAAAGCCUGAUCCAGCCAUACCGCGUGGGUGAAGAAGGCCUUCGGGUCGUAAAGCCCUUUUGUUGGGAAAGAAAAGCAGCAGGUGAAUACCCCGCUGUUCUGACGGUACCCAAAGAAUAAGCACCGGCUAACUUCGUG
rnacentral:rRNA from 1 species